AUGUGUUCAGGCAGGGAGUCCUUGUCUCUAUUUGAUUUCUUUCUUAUCUAUGUGGGCCAAGCUGGGGCAGAGAUAGCAAGAGGCAGACGAGGCCUUUUUUCACAGUGGAGUCAGAGUACAAAGAGGAAGGAACCUCCAUUUGACACUGCCUCACUAAUCUCAGCAGUGUAUCACUCAUUAUUCUGCACAGGAUUAAAGGAUUGCUUACUCCAUCUGAGAUUUUGCUACAUCAAGCAAUUUUCAGGAUUCAUUGUUAUCAUCCCCACUGCAGCUACGACUCUCUCCAACACACGUAUUUUCUCUGGCUAUAUAAUGACUCCUCGGCUUUAAGAGCAUUUCAUCAGCAGUGUUUUAACUACUGCAGCACAGCUCCAAAUACCAUAAAGAUGAGCAGCUCUGUGCCUGUGUGGCUUCUGAGUUGUUCAAGUGUGGUUCCUGUGCUGAAGCUGUGCCAUAUGACUGCUGAGGAGACUGUUGGUACCUGGCCAAGUGAAGCAGAACCAGGAGGAGCUGCUGGGGCUGGUGUUUGCUGGAACUUGGAUUCGCUGUCAACUGACUUGGAUGACUCCUGGAUCUGACAGCUGACAUUAAGUGAAUACUGCCAUCUCCUGCUUGUAAAAUGCCCAGGAUCACCUGCACCCUUCAGCUCUCUGUGGCGUGAAUGGAUGUUUGGGUAUUAGCUUCUGCAGCUGGGAAAAUUGGCUGCUUGGUUCUUGCUUUUGGCACUGUUCACAUAAUUUCAAAUGCAGUUUCAACAUGAAACAUUGAAGACUUUAAAGAUGAAGACCUAAAAAUAAUGUAUGGUAGAGAUACUAUGGUGUGAUCAAUAAACAUUCUACUAUUCUCA
rnacentral:lncRNA from 1 species